AGAAAUAUAGCUGAAUAUGGAAAAGUCCAUUGAGGAACACUUACAUACCAAAGACUUUUCUCCAAAAUCUUAUUCCUAAGAUAUUCACUGGAAAUUCCAACAAGUAAAGACGUAGAGAGUGGAUUGUCGUGGACCUUGGUAUUCACUCGUCCUCAUAUUCAUUAUCUUUAUAAUCCUGAUCCACAUCGUCACAAUCUCUAUAUAACCAUACUCGUCUUCUUUGAAUUAAAACCACAACACUCUCUCUUAUUCAUAAGGAUUAUCUCCGCACUUAUCAUUGACUCAGAAUGAAUCAGUCUUCAGUCGUAGUGGAAAAACCUUCACAGGAGAUGUACAUGAGUCCGCCGCCGAUUGUUUAUCCGACUAGAGAUGCGGCUGGUGGUGAUCCUCUGGUAGCCCCCGUGGAGACCAAGUGCAAAAAAUGUUGGAGAAAGUGUUUUGAUACGUUCUGCUGUUUUUUCGAAAUCGUGCAAGCAUGCACCUGGUGAUGAGACUUCGGAGUUAACGGUAUCAUGCAAAUUAUUGGUGUGUUAAAUAUAUAUAUUAUUUAUUUAAUGAUAAUUGUGUUACUUAAUUACGCUUUAUGUGAAAUGUACUGUACGGAUGGCUGACGUUGUUGUGCUUUGCAUUCAGUGACCAUAUCUUCCUAUAUAUUUAAACGUGAACUUGGAUUGUCGAAAUGCU